CCCAGCUGUCGGCAACUAACUAGGUUAAACUGUACUUAGGCAAGCGCUACACUGCUGGGAGAAGAGCAGCUAAUAGCUGAUGGGCAUCCUAGGCCUGGUUAAUGCCAAGUUUAGGUGAACUACACCAGUGUGCCAGCAAAAUGCUUAUUCUAGCAUCCAUGUGCAAGUGUGCGUGGACCCU
rnacentral:snoRNA from 1 species